CCUACGGGAGGCAGCAGUCGAGAAUUUUUCUCAAUGGGCGAAAGCCUGAAGGAGCGACGCCGCGUGGGGGAUGAAUGGCUUCGGCCCGUAAACCCCUGUCAUUUGCGAACAAAUUAUUUUACCUAACACGUAAAGUAUUGAUUGUAGCGGAAGAGGAAGGGACGGCUAACUCUGUGCCAGCAGCCGCGGUAAU
rnacentral:rRNA from 1 species